GGGAGUCCACAGGAGGGCUUCUCGAUCCAGCUUGGGUGGGCUGCAUCCUGGGAAGGACAGGAAAGGCUUCUAGGAGGAGAUGAUGUCAGAGCUGAGUCGUAAAAGGGGAUCCACAUUACAUUCAGUGCCUUACUUCUUUCGCUGGGAAGGGUUCCUUGGUUGGAAACAAUAUGGAGUAGGACACCCUGGCUGUCUCUAAGGCACUCCAUAAGUCUACAGACGGUGGUGAUGGCAGGGACGCAGGAAGCAAGGAAUGCAAAUCCAAUGACCGAAGAAGUGCCUAUUCCGCCAAGCCCUGCCUAAAUCAUAGCAACCAAAGAAGACUUCCACUGGAGAGGAUGCCAAACUUACCUUAAACCAUUCCAGUGCUUAUCAGUCUUCCUCUCCCAGCUGCCUCCGUCUUGCUCCAGGAUCAAGGCUCAAC